AAGAAAGAAAGACAUCUUGGAUGACAUGGGGAUGAGUAAAUUAUCAGCAAAAGUUUUUUAAAAGGUGAAUUACCCCUUUAAUUUGUUAAAGCAGUUAUAUUAUAAUAGUGAAUAUUUUAACAUAAAUGUAUUACCGCCAUUUACUUCCAUUGUAAAUGCCUCAUUGUAACCCACAUUUUUACUUCUUUUUUUUACCUCUUUUUUGGAGGUUAUUGAUAUUAUGUUACAUAUAAUGUAAUUUGAUCUUAUGCUGAACCUGGAAUAUUCCUUUAAUUACUAGUCAUUCGUUUUGAAACAGUUUUGUUUACUACAUAAAGCUGCAAAGUCAUUACUUUUAUCAUUUGGCUCUUUUGAUUAUUCUAUUCAUUUUUAUUUGUCCAUAAUUGUGUUCUAAUGGUCUCAAUAGCAUGCAGGCUUUUUUUGCCACGUCUUAAAAAAUACACAAAGUGCGCAAUAAGGCUUUGUUUGCUUCAUUUAUUUGUUUCUUCAUUAUUUUUUGGGAAAAAUAAACAAAUAGCAGUAUUCUUGAAGGUCAGGGAGGUGUUUUGUUCGUGCAGGAAGAAGAGAUGGGUAAGAGCGAGAGAGUUCGACGGAGGACGAGGAAGAGCACAUUGGAAGAACCCUCUUAUAACCUUCAGUAAAGCAUGCAUAGAUGUACAGAUUCUUUCACCAAGAGGAGACAACACAGGGUUUGAGUUACAGACGGAUAACAAAUGAACGGAAAAAGGAGAGAAAGACGAGUUCACAGAAAGAAGGGAGAGAGGUAGAGCAAAGGACCGGUUACAGCAUCAUGCCAACAGACAGAAGUUUUGUUGUGAAAGAUGGCAGUAGAAUCGUACAAAAAAAUCCAAAUGAUUAACAACUACAUCCAGCUAAGUACAUUUGGCUUUUUGUUAUUUAUUCAUUCAUAUAUACCUUAUCUUACAUAAAAGAGCACAUGACAUCACUCCUUUGGUUGCAGUAGUAUUACCUGGGUUCGUGUGAUUGGCAUGUUGGUUAUAUGGUUGAAAUCUUUGAGGCAUUGUUCAGAUGGAAAGGUGAAAUAUGGUUGGUGGGAUUACAGGCACAACAGAGUAAAUAAUGAAAUUGCUCUUGAAUUGACAAUGAAUUAACCCAGAAUAAUGAAUGAGGAAUAUAAAGGUCAUCAUUUAAUAUCCCUCAGGUGACAUAUUGUAUGGCUAAAUAGGAAAUAAUGUACAGUCAGGGCGCUCUUGUCAUCGUAAAAGAUUUGUUUGGCAAUAAUGACCAGCUCAAAUCCUCCAUUACAACGUACAAAACCGGUCUAAAUGAACACUGCAACA